rnacentral:rRNA from 1 species
CGCAAGCCUGAAUCCAGCCAUGCCGCGUGAGGGAUGAAGGCCUUCGGGUUGUAAACCUCUUUCGGCAGGGACGAAACUGACACGAUAAUGACGGUACCUGCAGAAUAAGCCCCGGCUAACUACGUGCCAGCAGCCGCGGUAAUACGUAGGGUGCAAGCGUUAUUCGGAAUUACUGGGCGUAAAGCGUGCGUAGGCGGCUUUUCAAGUCAGGUGUGAAAUCCCCGGGCUCAACUCUGGAACUGCCUUUGAUACUGCCCGGCUAGAGUGCGGCAGAGGAGAGUGGAAUUCCUGGUGUAGCGGUGAAAUGCGUAGAUAUCAGGAGGAACACCGGUGGCGAAGGC